rnacentral:rRNA from 1 species
GCUUGUCUCAAAGAUUAAGCCAUGCAUGUCUAAGUACAAGCCUCAGUAAGGUGAAACCGCGAAUGGCUCAUUAAAUCACACCUAAUCUACUGGAAAGUUACUAGUUACUUGGAUAACUGAGGUAAUUCUUGAGCUAAUACAUGCAUAAAACCCUAACUUCUGGAAAGGGUGUAUUUAUUAGAUGGAAACCAAUGCGGGGUAACCCGGAAUAUGGUGAUUCAUAAUAACUUUCGGAUCGAUUUAUCGAUGCAUCAUUCAAGUUUCUGCCCUAUCAGCUUUGGAUGGUAGGGUAUUGGCCUACCAUGGCUUUAACGGGUAACGGAGAAUUAGGGUUCGAUUCCGGAGAGGGAGCCUGAGAAACGGCUACCACAUCCAAGGAAGGCAGCAGG